GUGAGUUGGGAAGACAGCUUUCCGAGCUUAAGUGUUUCGGAGGAAGUUCUGUCCAUCGUAAAAGCGUUAUUCCAUUAGGAAUUGGUUCGAGAGGGCCAGGUCGUUUGGAGAAGGCUAGUAUGUUUUCAAAGGACACGAUACCAACGUGAUGCAAGGUCAAGUAAGCUCUGAUGAUGAAGGAGGAGCGGGUAGACUGCUUAGACAAAUGCUGUCAAAGCGGUUCAGAUGAUUGCGAACUUUCGCAGGAUCUGCUUCACAGGAGACAGGCUAAUCCCAACACAC
rnacentral:RNase_P_RNA from 1 species